AACUUGGUGAAAAUCUCUGUCUCCUGACUAAACUCAUUCUGUUUCCAGAUCCAGUUGAGCUGAGAGCAGCCCCUACUCGAACCCCACGUAGUGCAUGGGAGGACAAGAAAUAAGUCUUCCCGUGCCUUCCCUCCCCAAACCUGGAUGCGGCACCAAAACAAGUGUCACUUUCAUUAUCCUCUCUCUUACCCCUCAGUGCCCAUGAUGUGAUGAUGCUGUGUUGGGCGCUAUUGAGGGGUGCACACACCCUUCUCUAAACCCAUCUGUUCUCACUGUCAACAGAGAAGCUACGGUGAGGCUUGAGGCAGUUGGGUUGUAGGGACAGUUUAUGCAUUAGGACUGCAGGCAAGUAAAGCGACCUGCAAGCUACUGCCUCGCAUGCAUAGAAGAGUGCACAGAACAGUGCACCUCUCUUGCAUACACAUGUGGUAUGCGUGCCCAUUCAGCUGGUACAAGAGCAGCUCUUUGCAAGACUGCCAGCAAACACUGGCACCAAUUUUUGCACAAGCACCCCGUGGAGCUUGUCCACUAUCCUACUGAAGGAAUGAGCUUCAGAAAUAUGCCCUGCAUGACUGCAUCUCACAUGUGGAUGGUGAAGCUGCUGUCACGGAGCCAGCUGCUGACCUGGGCCUGUAGUGGUAUUUGCCACCAGCUUGAGAACCUGUGUGAACCCACACCCAGUAUACAACAUUUGACAUGCCAACAUCAUGGGGCUUGAAGAAAAACAGAUUUGGUCUUGAAGAAGGACAGAGUUUGUGUGACAAACCUUUGAAUGCUACAGCUUUGUUCCUUGCUAUGCUGUCAGUGGUCACUACACAGGUAAAAGGGACUGUCAUAGUUACUGGGCAUACAUUCCCAAUCCUCCUAUUACCUUAACAGUAAGCAGGGACAUAUAGAUAAUCCUUGGGUGUUAAUGAACCUUCUUGGCUACCUGGUCCUUAGGUAACCCAGAUCCUGCUUAGCCAAUGAGGAGGAUAAAGAGAAUAAAAAUUGUACUGUGGGAGUAUAAGAAAUUCCU
rnacentral:lncRNA from 1 species